CAGGCCUAACACAUGCAAGUCGGGCGGUAGCACAGGAGAGCUUGCUCUCUGGGUGACGAGCGGCGGACGGGUGAGUAAUGUCUGGGAAACUGCCUGAUAGAGGGGGAUAACUACUGGAAACGGUAGCUAAUACCGCAUAACGUCGCAAGACCAAAGUGGGGGACCUUCGGGCCUCAUGCCAUCAGAUGUGCCCAGAUGGGAUUAGCUAGUAGGUGAGGUAAUGGCUCACCUAGGCGACGAUCCCUAGCUGGUCUGAGAGGAUGACCAGCCACACUGGAACUGAGACACGGUCCAGACUCCUACGGGAGGCAGCAGUGGGGAAUAUUGCACAAUGGGCGCAAGCCUGAUGCAGCCAUGCCGCGUGUAUGAAGAAGGCCUUCGGGUUGUAAAGUACUUUCAGCGAGGAGGAAGGCGAUAAGGUUAAUAACCUUGUCGAUUGACGUUCCUCGCAGAAGAAGCACCGGCUAACUCCGUGCCAGCAGCCGCGGUAAU
rnacentral:rRNA from 1 species